rnacentral:rRNA from 1 species
GCGAGAAAGUAUCUUCGGAUAUGAGUAGAGCGGCGGACGGGUGAGUAACGCGUAGGAAUCUACCUAGUAGAAGGGGAUAGCCCGGGGAAACCCGGAUUAAUACCGUAUACCUCCUUCGGGAGAAAGAAGGCCUCUCUUUGAAGCCUUCGCUAUUAGAUGAGCCUGCGUAAGAUUAGCUUGUUGGUGAGGUAAAGGCUCACCAAGGCAACGAUCUUUAGCUGGUCUGAGAGGACGAUCAGCCACAUUGGGACUGAGACACGGCCCAGACUCCUACGGGAGGCAGCAGUGGGGAAUAUUGGACAAUGGGCGCAAGCCUGAUCCAGCCAUACCGCGUGUGUGAAGAAGGCCUUCGGGUUGUAAAGCACUUUAAGCAGGGAGAAAAAGUUAUAAGUUAAUACCUUAUGACCUUGAUGUUACCUGCAGAAUAAGCACCGGCUAAUUCCGUGCCAGCAGCCGCGGUAAUACGGAAGGUGCAAGCGUUAAUCGGAAUUACUGGGCGUAAAGCGCGCGUAGGUGGUUUGUUAAGUUGGAUGUGAAAGCCCUGGGCUCAACCUAGGAACUGCAUCCAAAACUAACUCACUUGAGUACGAUAGAGGGAGGUAGAAUUCAUAGUGUAGCGGUGGAAUGCGUAGAUAUUAUGAAGAAUACCGGUGGCGAAGGCGGCCUCCUGGAUCUGUACUGACACUGAGGUGCGAAAGCGUGGGUAGCGAACAGGAUUAGAUACCCUGGUAGUCCACGCCGUAAACGAUGACAACUAGCUGUUGGGAGACAAUGUCUUUCAGUGGCGCAGCUAACGCUUUAAGUUGUCCGCCUGGGGAGUACGG